CCUGUACUUCCUCCGUCCCAAAAUUCUUGUCGUAUAUUUGUCUAGAUAUGGAUGUAUCUAAUACUAAAACGUGACUUGAUACAUCCGUAUUUAGACAAAUCUAAGACAAGAAUUUUGGGACGGAGGGAGUACUAU
rfam:Triticum aestivum genome assembly, contig: Triticum_aestivum_CS42_TGACv1_scaffold_640957_T_1AL-0.255762_2DL-0.200883